rnacentral:rRNA from 1 species
GAUGAACGCUGGCGGCGUGCCUAAUACAUGCAAGUCGAGCGCAUGAAGCAGGGAGGCUCCUUCGGGAGGCUCUGUGUGGAGUGAGCGGCGGACGGGUGAGUAACACGUAGGCAACCUACCCAUCAGACUGGGAUAACCACGGGAAACCGUGGCUAAUACCGGAUAACCCUUUUAAACAUUGGUUUAAGAGUUGAAAGGCGGUUUCGGCUGUCACUGAUGGAUGGGCCUGCGGCGCAUUAGCUGGUUGGUGGGGUAAGGGCCCACCAAGGCGACGAUGCGUAGCCGACCUGAGAGGGUGAUCGGCCACACUGGGACUGAGACACGGCCCAGACUCCUACGGGAGGCAGCAGUAGGGAAUCUUCCGCAAUGGACGCAAGUCCGACGGAGCAACGCCGCGUGAGUGAAGAAGGGUUUCGGCUCGUAAAACUCUGUUGUUAAGGAAGAACGCCGGGGAUUUAACUGAUCUCCGAGUGACGGUACUUAACCAGAAAGCCACGGCUAACUACGUGCCAGCCGCCGCCGUAA